AUAAAAAAAUAUGAAAAUCAAUACACAAUGAACUUUAUGUAAAAAUAAACAUAGUUAUACUGAUUUUAUGUCGUAAAUAUACAUGAUUUAUUUAUUAUGUUAAAAUUAAAAAUUGAUAUUUUUAAUCUGUAUAUCACGUGACUAAAAACACGAGCCGCCAUGCUGUGACGUCAUAAUGGCAAUAAUCAUUCGCUGUCAUCUGUCAACAACUUUUUAUUUUCUAUUCGCAUUCUAUGCGUCAAAAUUAUUCAGUUGAUAUUUAUUUAAAUCAUACGAAAUAAGUUAAAUACUACUAAAAACACGAAAUGGAAGCCGGUUUCGUAAAAGCAGAUAGUACGAACUUAUCAAAAAUCUACACGAUGAUGGUUGCAAAGUUCUUUGCUUUGCAUGUAAUCCAGAUUUCUGUUCUGCCGAAUUCCGGAAUAUAUAAACAUCUUUAUCUGCAAGAGAAUCGUAUGGCGACGAUGCUAUCGGAUACGUGCAACUACAAAGGACCCAAGUUUUAUGUACAAUAUGUCCGGAACAUAAAGUUCGUUCCAAACCAUAUUCUGCAACUCUCAUUGUAGAUGAUGUGCUACAGGUGACAUGCCAUGAUUGUCCUGUGUCUGCCGGUGGAUGUAAACAUGCAGUAGCGUUUUUAAUGUGGUGUCAUCGUAGAAGUGAAGAGCCAUCAUGCACUUCAGUCCAAUGUUAUUGGAAAAAAUCGACACUAUCAAAGGUCGGAUCUUCAAUAAAAAUUAUGACAACGAAAGAAAUGACAAAAAAGAAGCUAAAAAGUGCUGAAACUAAUAUAGGUGACAGUGUAGUUGAAGAUUUUAUAAUUAAAUCUAAAAAAAGAAAAAUUACUUCUUGUCAAUAUUUAAAGCAUGAAAAUGACAAUAAAGUAAAUAUUAUAGAGAUUGCAUAUGAUCAAAUAUAUGUGUCAGAACUGCUCCACAGUGUUAUUUCAUUUUGGAAAAGAAAUAUUUUUCCCAUUUUAUAUGAAACUGUACAAAUAUAAUAAAAAAAAGUACUUUAAAUAAUAA